rnacentral:rRNA from 1 species
GUAUUAAAGGUGUUGCCUGCCCAGUGAAACAACUUCAACGGCCGCGGUAUCCUAACCGUGCAAAGGUAGCGUAAUCACUUGUCUUUUAAAUAAAGACUCGUAUGAAAGGCUAAAUGAGGACGAAACUGUCUCUUAUAGUUGGCCAGUGAAACUGAUUUUCAAGUACAAAAGCUUGGAUAAACACAUAAGACGAGAAGACCCUGUGGAGCUUAAAACUACCUCUAUAUUAAAAUAGCACAAGUUUUAAGUUGGGGCGACUUCGGAACAAAACAAAACUUCCGAGCACAGAGCCACUAACUCCAGCUAAGACCAACAAGUCAAAGAACAAGAAUGACCCAGUCAUACUGAACAACGAACCAAGUUACCCCAGGGAUAACAGCGCCAUCUUCUUCAAGAGUCCUUAUCGACAAGAAGGUUUACGACCUCGAUGUUGGAUCAGGACACCCAAAUGGUGCAGCAA